rnacentral:ncRNA from 1 species
UAAAAAUUGUUCCGAGUUUGUGCCGCCUACGGGAUCGUCUAUGGCGCACAGACCGCGGCUCUGCGGGGACGCAGGGCCCCAGGGUAUUGCCGGAAACGGCGGUGCCUCCUGUUGGAAAGGAGCGGU